UACGGGGGGGGCGAAGCGUUGUUCGGAAUUACUGGGCGUAAAGGGCUCGUAGGUGGCCAACUAAGUCAGACGUGAAAUCCCUCGGCUUAACCGGGGGAACUGCGUCUGAUACUGGAUGGCUUGAGUUUGGGAGAGGGACGCGGAAUUCCAGGUGUAGCGGUGAAAUGCGUAGAUAUCUGGAGGAACACCGGUGGCGAAGGCGGCGUCCUGGACCAACACUGACACUGAUGAGCGAAAGCCAGGGGAGCAAACGGG
rnacentral:rRNA from 1 species